rnacentral:rRNA from 1 species
CGAAGGACCCAAGCGUUAUCCGGAUUUAUUGGGUUUAAAGGGUGCGUAGGCGGGUUAUUAAGUCAGUGGUGAAAGCCUACAGCUUAACUGUAGAAUUGCCAUUGAUACUGAUGAUCUUGAGUAUGAUUGAGGUGGGCGGAAUGUGUCAUGUAGCGGUGAAAUGCUUAGAUAUGACACAGAACACCGAUUGCGAAGGCAGCUCACUAAGCCAUAACUGACGCUGAUGCACGAAAGCGUGGGGAGCAAACAGGAUUAGAUACCCUGGUAGUCCACGCCCUAAACGAUGAUCACUCGAUGUGUGCGAUACACUGUACGCGUCUGAGCGAAAGCAUUAAGUGAUCCACCUGGGGAGUACGACCGCAAGGUUG